ACUUAAAUAGUUUAAUUAAAAUAUUAAUUUGUGGUAUUAAUGAUAUUAUAUAUGUU
rnacentral:tRNA from 1 species